CCCCUCGAUUUCCGUCACGGGAUCGCCUAUAUGGGUGUUGCUCACCUUCGGGUGGCUAUGGCGAUAAACGGCAGGUGGAAUAAGUGUUGCGGACCCGGGGGCAGUGCCCGGCGCCUCCACCAUUCGAUCCCCCGAGGUCGUUCGGGGCAGGAUGGGGGCGAAACAGGUUCGACGCGCAUGGUAAAGCCCUGUCUUUUGCCCGGCAUUGUACCGCCGUUAUCGGGCUAAUUCAUAAGUGCCAACGAUAACAGCCGCGAGGCUGUGGCGCUCGCUGCCUAAAUAGGUAAGCGCCGUCCGGGGGGAACGGGGCAACAGAAUCCCCCCACU
rnacentral:tmRNA from 4 species